UUCCGUAGAGUAAAAAAAUUCUUCGAACCAGCGUUUCUGGGAUUUGAUCCAAUGUUGGCAUUUGUUCAAUGCAACAACCUAUAUAUGUCUUAACGUCAAUUAUUUGCAUUUCCUGAUUACAGAAUGUAUCACAACCUAUAUACAAUACAAUAAAAAUACAAAAUCUCCAUGACCAUGACCAACUUUUGGUCAAAUCCCAGAAACGGUGGUCUAAACGUAUACUUAGAUUGAUUCUGUUUGUGGUAUUAAAGGUUUCACAAAAUAGUGGUACAGAUACGGGGUCGCGAAAACCGCAAGUCUGUAUCUUUAAAAUCAUCUGAGAUACAUAGUAGUCUCAACCAAAAUAUGACACUCGGCACAUUAUAGGGAUUCGAAAUCCUUUGUAAUGACAAUGUCUAUAAACCUAGAAAAAGUAUUUCUUGUGUUCAUUAUGACUUCGCGUUCUUGUUGUAUAGAUAACUAUUUCGAUUUUCAAUCUAUUUUUUAGGAAGCUAUUGCACUUAUCUUUGAAAAAAAAUUGGAAAAUCUAGGGAUUAACGCGGUACUAUUUGGUGAUAUUGCAAAGUCCUUAUUGCCAAAGAUGCAACUGAUGUUUGACAUCUUAUCAAAAGUUGGUUUGAAUCCCAUACAAUCAGAUUCCGGAGUAUAUAUCAUUACGAACACGUCGAACCUAGAUCAAUCGAUUGAUUAUAGCAAAUACAAGGAUUUUGUGGGAUGGUUGGCCGAAAAUGUACAUAUUCAAGCUGUACCACUACAGAUGUUUUAUAAGGAUGGUACAUGUUUUAAACAUUUUGUGCGAUUUUGUUUCAAUAGAAAGGAAGACACCUUAACAUUGGCAAGAGAUCUGUUAGAAAAAAAAUUUAAACUUAAAACUAAAUAAAUUCGUAGUGCUUGCUUACGCGUACGUAAUGUUAAAUAUGAAUAUUCUAUGUAGCGAUAAUAAUGAAAUAUUACCCAAAAAUUCUA